CCGAGUUUACAACUCCCAAACCCCUGUGAACAUACCUAUACGUUGCCUCGGCGGAUCAGCCCGCGCCCUGUAAAAAGGGACGGCCCGCCGCAGGAACCCUAAACUCUGUUUUUAGUGGAACUUCUGAGUAUAAACAAACAAAUAAAUCA
rnacentral:misc_RNA from 1 species